AAUUUAAACUUGCCUUCUGAAUCUUGCACCCAUGCAAACAUACUGAUUUAAUAAAUAAGUUGCAAUCUCGGUACAUAAAUGCGUAUUCCGCAACGAAAUUCAACAAAUUGUAAACAGCUGAAAAAGUUAUUUUUGAAAUUUAAUAAGUAUACAUUUCAGUGUUUUAGACAAGUAAUUUGUUAGCUUUAAUACCAAAACGUAGUCAUACAGACAGAAGUAAUGUAAACAAAUAAAAAAAAGUUAUUUACAAAGGAAAUAGACCAUCCUAUGCCUUAAGUAAAUACUCGUAACACUUGGCGCGUAGGAAGUUGGCCUUUUAACAUUGUUUGAUACGUGUUAUAUAAAGUACUACUGUUAUCAUUUUUACAGUGUGCUUUUUUUGCUUUGUAUGACUUAUUGGCAAACUGCUUCUUAAUGGUGCGUUCUUCAUGUUUCCCCAAAAAUUCAGUAAGAACCCCGGUUCUUAUUUCAUAAUUUUUAACUGACAGGUUUAAUUUGGAAGGUCAUGAUAAGACCACAAUCAAGUGAUAAAGGCAAUUUAUUUAUCAGACUCAUUUAUUUGUGGUGUAUUUUACAGGAAUGCAGUGACAUACUGAUAUUAUGAAGUGUGAAAAUAUUUAAUUAAACAUUUCACUAUAAGAGCUAGCUAGGGAACAAAUGACUCUUUUAAUUCUUUGCUCAUCAUAAUCCUUUGAAACAAACUGAAAACAGUCCGUCAUUUUGCUAGACAUUCACAUCUGUUUUGGCUCCAAAUUACAGACAAAAUAAAUGACGGAAUUCACACUCAGUUUACCUCUGAAGACACAAAUUUGUUUAACAACAGCAAUUUCAUGGUUAAUUAGGAAGGUCAGAUUUCUUCACCCCCACAUAUUUGCCAAUAAGUAGGUAAGACGUUCUGAUAACCGGGCUUCGCCCGGUUAUCAGAACCUCUUACCUAUACAUACCUGGAGUGCUUAGUGUAAGAUUAAGAAGACUAUGUUGACCUCAUUAAGACGUGUACCAGAUUGUUUGUCCUUCAGUCACAUCUGGCAAUUUGUACUCUUAUUAAAUUUGCAAAAUUGAAAUACAACUUUACGCAAGAUGCUUUGUUGCGUCUGUGUAAAGUCGAGCUGUAAAUCAACUUUAUUUACGUCAAUAGUCUAGUCUCAUUUUCCUACAUAAGGAAACUGUCAUUGCCUGUGGUCAGUCCUUUAUGCAAAUCAUUUACUGCAGUUUUAGACGAAUUCUGCUUUAGAACUGGUCAAUAUUCAGCCUUCCUGCCGGAAGAAGUGUCUGGAGAUAAUGAGAUCCUGUAUCGAUCCUUGAAUCUCGUCUCCUUUGAGAGACAUGUUAACAAAGUUGCAUGAUCCCAUUAUUUGAUUCUAAUUACAACCCUAUCAUAAGUCCAUUCUACAUUAUUGGCAAACUGCCUCUUAAUGGUGCAUUCUUCGUGAUUCCCCAAAUAUUCAGUAAGAACCCGGUUCUUAUUUCGUAAUUUUUAACUGACAGGUUUAAUUGGGAAGGUCAUGAUAAGACCACAAUCAGGUGAUAAAGGUAAUUUAUUUAUCAGACUCAUUUAUUGUGGUGUACUUUACAGGAAUGCAGUGACAUACUGAUAUUAUGAAGUGUGAAAAUAUUUAAUUAAACAUUUAAUUCUUUGCUCAACAUAAUCCUUUGAAACAAACUGAAAACGGUCCACCAUUUUGCUAGGCAUUCACAUCUGUUUUGUCACCAAAAAUUACAGACAAAAUAAAUGACGCAAUUCGCACUCGGCUUACCUCUGAAGACACAAAUGUGUUUGACAACAGCAAUUUCAUGGUUAAUUAGGAAGGUCAGAUUUCUUAACCCCCACAUAUUUGCCAAUAAGUAGGUAAGAACCUACCCGGUUAUCAGAACCUCUUACCUAUACAUAUCCCCAUUACCGACAGAUUAUUACGCAAAGCUCAGGGAUACAAAGGUUUAGUUGAGGCGGAGAUUUGUUUUUGCAUUUCACUUGUAUUUUAUUUGUAAAGAUAUUCUAGCAUAAGCAUUAAAAUAAUGAGAGUCGAAUAACGAGCCGGCGGAAAUUUGGUCUCUAACCCUUACCCUGCUAAAUUUCUAUAAUGAACUUGUCAAUCUUUCAAAUUGGACAGUACCAUUAACUGUUAAAAGGGGGAAUAUCAAAAAGAUACUGACUGAAUACCAUGAUCAAACUGCACGGAUGUGCAGGCUGAUUAUGAUCUACACUGGUCGCAAAAGCAGACAGUCGUGUCCAGCAUGAUAAGGGCUAAACUAACUGUCACAUACACUAAAUUUUGCUUUACUGUCAGUGGUUUAUGAAGAGGGAAAUAAGUGCGAUCAAUACGGCGGACUGGUAUCAAUUCAGUUAGCGUACGCGGAACUACUGUAGUAUCAGUCUGUAGUAGAAUUAU
rnacentral:lncRNA from 1 species